rnacentral:rRNA from 1 species
AUGGAUCCUCCUAACCCACCAUGGAAGGGCUACUCCAUUGACUUCAACCCCAGCCUCAAGGUCGAGGACCAGGUUCAUUGGUGUUUCAAAUCAACGGUUCAUUUCUCCCCCACUUCCUCCUCCAAGGAAUUUUUCUUGGUGGUCACUUUCUCUUCUGCCUCCUUUCCCCUAUCGUGUGCAUCAGUUGGUUUGGCUUUAAAAUGUUGCAUUGGGGGUCUUACAUCUGGUUUCAAGGUUGCACACAUUGGAGAAAGGAAUUUUCGGUUCUAG